rnacentral:rRNA from 1 species
GAUGAACGCUGGCGGCGUGCCUAAUACAUGCAAGUCGAGCGAACAGACGAGGAGUUUGCUCCUCUGACGUUAGCGGCGGACGGGUGAGUAACACGUGGAUAACCUACCUAUAAGACUGGGAUAACUUCGGGAAACCGUAGCUAAUACCAGAUAAUAUAUUGAACAUCAUGGAUCAAUAAAAGAUGAAGGCUUUGCUGUAACGUUUUGAUUGUUCCGCGCUGCAUUGAGUGGUUAGUAAGGUACAGGGUUACCAAGGGAACGAUGCGUGACCGACAUGAGAGGGUGAUCAGCCACCCUGGAAGUGAGACACGGUCCAAGCUCCUACGGGAGGCAGCAGUAGGGAAUCUUCCGCAAUGGGCGAAAGCCUGACGGAGCAACGCCGAGUGAGUGAUGAAGGUCUUCGGAUCGUAAAACUCUGUUAUUAGGGAAGAACAAAUGUGUAAGUAACUAUGCACGUCUUGACGGUACCUAAUCAGAAAGCCACGGCUAACUACGUG